UACGCACGCUGGCGGCGUGCUUAACACAUGCAAGUCGAACGGAAAGGCCCUGCUUUUGUGGGGUGCUCGAGUGGCGAACGGGUGAGUAACACGUGAGUAACCUGCCCUUGACUUUGGGAUAACUUCAGGAAACUGGGGCUAAUACCGGAUAGGAGCUCCUGCUGCAUGGUGGGGGUUGGAAAGUUUCGGCGGUUGGGGAUGGACUCGCGGCUUAUCAGCUUGUUGGUGGGGUAGUGGCUUACCAAGGCUUUGACGGGUAGCCGGCCUGAGAGGGUGACCGGCCACAUUGGGACUGAGAUACGGCCCAGACUCCUACGGGAGGCAGCAGUGGGGAAUAUUGCACAAUGGGCGGAAGCCUGAUGCAGCAACGCCGCGUGCGGGAUGACGGCCUUCGGUUUGUAAACCGCUUUCGCCUGUGACGAAGCGUGAGUGAUGGUAAUGGGUAAAGAAGCACCGGCUAACUACGUG
rnacentral:rRNA from 1 species